rnacentral:rRNA from 1 species
UACAUGGGGUGCAAACGUUGCUCGGAAUUAUUGGGCGUAAAGCGCACGUAGGCGGUUUGUUAAGUCGGAUGUGAAAUCCCUCGGCUCAACUGAGGAAGUGCAUCCGAAACUGGCAAGCUUGAGUACGAAAGAGGGUCGCGGAAUUCCCGGUGUAGAGGUGAAAUUCGUAGAUAUCGGGAGGAACACCGGUGGCGAAGGCGGCGACCUGGGUCGAUACUGACGCUGAGGUGCGAAAGCGUGGGGAGCAAACGGG